rnacentral:rRNA from 1 species
UACGUAGGGUGCGAGCGUUAAUCGGAAUUACUGGGCGUAAAGCGUGCGCAGGCGGUUGUGUAAGACAGGUGUGAAAUCCCCGGGCUUAACCUGGGAAUGGCGAUGGAGACUGUAAGGCUAGAGUUUGGCAGAGGGGGGUAGAGUUCCACGUGUAGCAGUGAAAUGCGUAGAGAUGUGGAGGAACACCGAUGGCGAAGGCAGCCCCCUGGGUCAAAACUGACGCUCAUGCACGAAAGCGUGGGGAGCAAACAGGAUUAGAAACCCCGGUAGU